rnacentral:tRNA from 5 species
CGAGGUGUGGCUCAGUUUGGUAGAGCGCUACGUUCGGGACGUAGAAGCCGGAGGUUCAAAUCCUCUCACCUCGACCA